AUGAACGCUGGCGGUAUGCUUAACACAUGCAAGUCGAACGGAGUACUUAGGUACUUAGUGGCGGACGGGUGAGUAACGCGUGAGAAUCUGCCUUCAGGUUCGGGACAACCACUGGAAACGGUGGCUAAUACCGAAUGUGCAGCAAUGUGAAAUAUUUAUAGCCUGGAGAUGAGCUCGCGUCUGAUUAGCUAGUAGGUGUGGUAAGAGCGCACCUAGGCGACGAUCAGUAGCUGGUCUGAGAGGAUGAUCAGCCACACUGGGACUGAGACACGGCCCAGACUCCUACGGGAGGCAGCAGUGGGGAAUUUUCCGCAAUGGGCGAAAGCCUGACGGAGCAAUACCGCGUGAGGGAGGAAGGCUCUUGGGUUGUAAACCUCUUUUCUCAGGGAAGAAAAAAAUGACGGUACCUGAGGAAUAAGCAUCGGCUAACUCCGU
rnacentral:rRNA from 1 species